GGAGUAGCUCAGUGGAAGAGUAUAUGCUUAGCAUGCGUGAGGUCCAGGGUUCAAUCCCCAGUACCUCCA
rnacentral:tRNA from 1 species